GUGCUUGCUUCAAUAGCACAUAUAUCAAAAUUGGAAUGAUGCAGAAAAGAUUAAUAUGGUCCCUGCUCAAGGAUGACAUGCAAAUUUGUGAAGCAUUCCAUAUAAAC